GGAGCCUCCCAAAAUAUCCACGGUCUUCCCUUCCAAUCAUCCCUUGCUGAUUGGUAAAGUCGUUCUACCAGCUUCUUUUCCAGGUCCUGCUUAGGCAGACUCGCUUUAUAUGUGGGAAACUGGGCAUGUUCAUCCUUCAAUCCUUUCUCCUCUGAACUGGAUCUGGCAGGAGCUCUUUGAUAAUUCUGACAUAUAAACGGCACCUUCCCCUGGUUUCACUGCAGACCUACAAUUUGUCACUGCAGCCCGGUGGCUGGUCCCUGUUCCUGGAAUGAUUUCACCCCAUUUGUUUGAAUAUGAAGCUCCUGUUCCUUCUCUGAAAGAACUGGCCUGCUGGCAGAAGGAAAAGCCUUCGAGACGGUGACGUGGGUCUUGAUGAAGAGAGCACCAGGAGCGCUUUGCCGCAGUCCCAGCCCUGACUCUUUCCAGGACUCCCCAUUGUCCACCCGGCCAGCGCAUCAGUGCUGCGGACAGCAGGUGGGCAGACAAAGGGCUGAGCUCUGCCAGCGCUGUGCUGGUAAAUGGGGAACGGCUGGCUCUCUUGGGCAGGAACAGAGAAGGUAUGCCCUGGUGGGUAGCGUCUGCCAAUUUUCAUGGCGUGAAUACUCCCAACCUGGCCAGCUUCAUGCUGCCAGUGGGACUUUGACUAGGGCAGUUGGGAGGGGUACAGGUUCAUGAGAAUGUGAUUCUGGAAAUUCUCUCUAAGGUCUGUAAGCCAGGUCAGCUUUACAGAACCUUUGCUUAACACAAAAGUAUCACCUACCCGACGAAACACAUGCCCCAUAGCAUUAAAUGCAAUGUGAAAAACACAAAUACAUAGUUACCUACAUUUCUCUAUCUCCCCCCACAUUAAAAGGAGAUUUUUGUUUUUCACUAACUCUUUUGGAUCAAUGUGUAACUCCCUUCUUCUUCCCCUGAAUAUGAUGACAGACCAAACUGUUUUGUAGGGAGUAGAAAUGGGAAAGCACCAAGAGGGGAAAACGAGGAGGUGAUGGAGCAUUGACAAGUCUGCGACACAGGAAAGAAGAGUAACAGUGUGGGCGUCACCACUGGCCACCAGCCCUGGGGUCUUGGGCUGGGCAGACAAGAGGUGGCCUGAAGCAGGAGCCCAAGAAGAUUCAUUUGCAGGCACACAAGGAGCCUCGUCUCCCCCACCCUGUCUUAUUUUUACAAAGUCAUUCAAAUAAAGAGAACUGAUAGUGGAGCUGUAGUUCUAAAUCU